GAUUAAGGUUUAGUUGUUGUUGUUAUUGUAUCUAUCAAUUAGAUGCAAGCAUAAUACAACAUGGAUAGCUAUGUUAUUGCAUAUCAUUUUCAAAAGUAAAGUUGAGUGUUUUGUUUUUCUUUUGCCAUUUUUAGGCCAUUUUGGAUAUAUUGAACUGCCAAUACCUAUCUAUCAUCUGAGUCAUGUUAGUGAACUGAAGCAACUGUUGAGCUUAUUAUGUUUAAAGUGCUUGAAAAUGUAAACAAACAAGGUACUUUCUGAUUUAAUAUUCCUCCAUCUUUCGUUUAGUUUCUUUAGUUUUGAGUAGAACUAUAGAAGUGCAGAAU
rnacentral:misc_RNA from 1 species